UAUCACAUUUUAAGAACCACCAAAUGUGUUGCCAGGUGAUAUAAGCAUUGGGAAAGGCUUAUGUAGGGAAUGACGCAUGGCCUUGUCGGGCAUGCACAUCACCAUGUUUUUCUUGGGAUUUCGUUGAUUUCCUUGUUGUAAACACAACAUUGGGUAGGCACACGAUCGUGUUUCCCUCAUAGAAAUGCUUUAGUGGUAAUACAUAGUUGUGCCUUAAAGGUCUGGCACAAGCUUUGGGCAAGGCUUAUGUGUAAAUUGACACACGACCAUGUCGGCCAUGCAC
rnacentral:lncRNA from 1 species